CAGAACUGAAAGAGCUUCUUCAGAGCUUUGGAAGUAUCUAGCUUCUGUUCUGCUUCUACUUCUGGGGGUCUCUACUAUUGGAGUACCAAGCUUGCUGGCCCAAAAUGGUCACCAUUUGCUUCAUGGAUAACUGGCUGGUAUAUUGAGAUGAUUUCUUCGGAGCAAUUCUUGACAACAUUUGUAGUUGAGGCCUUUAGAAUGGAAGAAUGUAUUUCACUAAUUUUUGUAUACAUUUCUUGUUUUGUAUUUAGUGAUAAAGGAAUCUGAAUUGGGCAUAAAUUAUGUUGUAAUAUGAUUUCUUAAGCCUAGACUAGUAGACUAAAUAUUGUAAUUACAUUUGA